rnacentral:rRNA from 1 species
GAUGAACGCUGGCGGCGUGCUUAACACAUGCAAGUCGAACGGUGAAGCAGGAGCUUGCUCUUGUGGAUCAGUGGCGAACGGGUGAGUAACACGUGAGCAACCUGCCCCUGACUCUGGGAUAAGCGCUGGAAACGGCGUCUAAUACUGGAUAUGUGAUGUGACCGCAUGGUCUGCAUCUGGAAAGAAUUUCGGUUGGGGAUGGGCUCGCGGCCUAUCAGCUUGUUGGUGAGGUAAUGGCUCACCAAGGCGUCGACGGGUAGCCGGCCUGAGAGGGUGAACGGCCACACUGGGCCUGAGACACAGCCGAGACUCCUACGGGAGGCAGCAGUGGGGAAUAUUGCACAAUGGGCGGAAGCCUGAUGCAGCAACGCCGGGUGAGGGAUGACGGCCUUCGGGUUGUAAACCUCUUUUAGCAGGGAAGAAGCGAAAGUGACGGUACCUGCAGAAAAAGCACCGGCUAACUACGUGCCAGCAGCCGCCGUAA